rfam:Ictidomys tridecemlineatus contig061800, whole genome shotgun sequence.
GGGGAUAUGGCUCAGUUGGUAGAGUGCUUACCUCACAUGCGUAAGACCCUGGGUUUGAUCCCCAGCACCACCA